rnacentral:lncRNA from 1 species
CCAAAUUGCUGUUUUCCAGCCCAGAACGCCUUGGAGCACAUGAACGCCCUUACUGUUUUCAACCCAAACAAAUGACUCGGUGCACUGUUAGGUAAUUGUUCUACUGCUUAGAAACUAUCGAAACAAAAGCAAAUCCGUGGAUUACCACCUCCUUAAGACCAAACUAAUACCUGCUUUCCUUCACGUUCCCUUUCUCAUCCCAUAUUAAAUAUCUCGCACAUAAAACACACAAGAAAAUGGCCAAUUAAUCUCCUAGAGCCGGCGGCCGACUGGAGGAACCUCUGUUCGCUUGAAAGGCCCAUUCCCUGGUGGAUCACUUGAGGAAAUCCCUCCUAACGGUGCCAGAAACUCAUGUGUGAGACAGUCCAACCCUGGUAAAAUCCUGGCAUCUAACCCUGCCGUGGAGAAGCCAGUUCCCGAAAUAGACCGCAGUUGCACCACUGCAGGAAGGCCACAAAGUACUUUAAAAGCAGUCAACUGGAAUCGAGUCAUGUUCUUUCCAGGGCUGAUUUUCCCCAAAGUUGAAAGCCUCUUUAUAUGAAAACCAUGCAAACUCUCGUCAUCCCCCUUGCCUCACUGCCUUUCAGGGUACCGUAUUAAGAGUUCUUUUCCAUCUGUAAAAGGUCAUAUUGUUAGGAGCUAUAAUACUUGAUUCGCUGACAGGGCAGUCGCCUUCGGAUCCGACUAGACCAGGCCUCCCCCAAACAGGGAACAUCAUCAGCGUUGGGGAUUUGUGGUUUCCAACUAACUCAGUGGUAUUUCGGACUCCUGCAGAGGGGAAUGGCUGUGACUCCUUUCCGGCUGCGGCUCGAACCGUGGUGUUCAGGUCAUGCCGCAGCCAUAGGCAGCCUCUGGCACCGAGAGGGAGUCCAUUCCGACGAGGUCUGCGUGCGUACACACUGAACACUGACACCGGACAGCCCCUUCUUGUGCCUCCUUGAAAAGGUUCGGCUUCCAGACCUGUGGGUGGUUCUCUACCUGUUGGCCAAACAGGGCCGUGUGUGAGUUACUGCAUCAGGUAGGCCUGGAUGCCACACGAAAGCUUCCUGCAGGGAGAGCCAUUAUCUGAGGAAGCCAGGGUACAUUCUGUUCCUAAUUUCGGGUGAAGCCAAUGCUGCUGUUCGCAAAUUUGAGCAGAAUCAUUCAUCACCACCGCUCUGCCGCACUUCGCCGCAGUAUCUGGAUAAGGAAGUAAACCUUCAGCUCUUGAUUCUAAUACUGCCGAGAGUCGGCACAGGGGUUAUUUUAUUUAUUUAUUUACUUAUUUAUUUUUACUUCUCCCAGUAAAGAGUGAUGCAUACAGUUUCCCCCCUUAUUUCUUGAAUUUUCUGUCUCAGCUCUUUUCUGAUUCUAAGAUAAUGUUAGAAAGUAGAGAAUUGGGGGUGAAACAGAGAGACACGAACACACUGUCCUUUGCGUGAACUGAGUCACCAGAGGUACUGUUUUCCUUCCCUUGGUACUUGUUAACAAGUAGGCAUUAGUGCACCGUGGACAUUGGACAUCCUUCUAGCCCCGUGUCUGAUAGAACUCACUGGCCUAGGUUGGGCCCAGUGACGGGUGACUGAGCCCCGCUCGGUUAACUUACACAGACAAGUGUUGAUUCCUGUCAUGGGGUGCUGUUAAGUCCUGGCACCCAGCAAUUCCGAAUGGUAGACAAUUCCAAUGUCAUUGUUUUCAGACCCCCUGACUUGAAGGGUUUUCUUUAGUGUGUCUUUUUUGUUUUUUAAAGACUUUAUUUAUUUAUUCAUGAAAGACACAGAGAGAGAGGCAGAGACACAGGCAGAGGGAGAAGCAGGCUCCCUGUGGAGAGCGUGAUGUGGGACUCGAUCCUGGGACCCUGGGGAUCACAACCUGAACCAAAGGCAGAUGCUCAGCCAUUGAGCCACCCAGGUGUCCCUUCUUCAGUGUGUCUUAGUGGGUGCACGCCACAGUAAAGUUUAAGUCACUGUUAAACUCUAGGUAAAAAGUCAAAAGUGUGGCAUCCCCUCCUCAGCACAACUGUAGUUGUCAGGGGUUUUAGUUAAACCGGGUUCCCCCGUGAUGGUAUUAGGGAGCACUCUCCUCAUCAGCUGGCCUCCGAAGUGAGGCGAGGCACUGUUAAACCCCAGGAAAGGGGCAACUGCUUUUUGGCUUUGGUUCCUCCCUGUGGAAAGAGAAGCCACCGGUGUGGAAGCCACAGCCAUUGCCCAGGGGAGAAGAUUCAGGCGCCUACAGCGCCUCUUAGCGCAGUGAAGACUCCUUCCCUCCGCCCCCCUCCGCCAUUGUGCUCUAGACCAGUCUCUCCCCUUCCUUGCCCUGGUCCCUAGAGCUAGGCCCCCCCGCCAGCCGCAGCCCCCCACCUUGCAGCCCCAGGAGCCUGCGCUGCUCCUCCCACUUGUCCGCCCCACAGGAGUGCCUUACAGUACCGUGUCGUGCUUCUAGCAGCCUCCACUGACCCACUUGAAGGCCACACGGCUUCCUCCUGCCAGCCACCGUUACCCGGGUGCGCUGGAACCUGCACAUUCCUCCAGCAUGGCAGACCCUUCCCCUUUGCUUAACCUGGUGCCUUAAGCUCAGGAGGGAAGGAUUCCUUCCGGGAACACAUUGUGAGAGCAGAAUGCUACAAACAUGGGCUUCUAGCUCUGUGGACACUCAUACCAGGAAAUACAAAAGACAUAGCACGUAAUGUUUUACUUUGUUUUAUGCUGGGGCUGUUUCUCUUUUCUUUUUUAAGUCACUCUUUUUUUAUUUAUUUGCUUGCUUGCUUUCAUUAACCAAACUCAGGAGAAUGUCAUGCGGUCACCAAGGCAUGAGUGGAGGCAUUAAACCAGUCAGCCAGAUUUGAAUCUGUAAAGUCACUGAACUCAGCCUUUUUCAGGUUAAAAAAUGACACAAACACAGAAUUUUCUUUUCUUUUACUGUAUAAAGGUUUCCUGCUUUACUUUACCACCUGUUUUCCAAGUAGGAAGUGGGAAGCCUCUUGGAUACAUUGUGAUAAAAAUGUUUCUGGGUGGUGUGGGCGGUCCACCGAGCUAUUAAUAUUUGGCUUUUGCUGCUGGAGGUCUAGGUUCUGAUUUCAGUCACCUACCACAAUCUUAUUUUAAAUAGCCAGAAGCCUACCAUACAAGAUUUGGGGGGGGGGGGGCCGGAAAAGGAGGGAAAAUGUUUAGUCUGCAAAUGAAGAGCAUUAAAUGUGGUGCAGAAGAGUUCUACACCACUCAUUCUUCUGCUCCUGGGUUAGAUCCGUGUUGUUUUCCCUUAUUUCUGCUAGUGCAGUACAAGGUUUGGGCUAUUAUAUCACUAUGUGCUGAGCUAUUUGAAAUACCUAAUGCACUAACAUACAUACACACACAUACACACAUAUGUGUUGUUUGUUUUCUGGAUUUUUUGCCUUUUGUUUUAGCAUAACUUAUCCAUACUUUUGUCUAUAUCAUUUUUAAAUAUCAGUAACUGUUAAAAUAUAAGAUGAAGUUGUGUUGUUGACAAGAACCCUAGUUUUUAUGGUCAUCUGUCAUAUAAUUUAAGCUUACCAGUUCCUAAUGUAUAAAAUUAUCUCUCUC